rnacentral:lncRNA from 1 species
AUUAAGUAUUGAUUUAAAAAAAAAUUGUCCUGGACAUGUUCCCUGCAGCUUCAUGAGAAUCACCCAGGUAGGUAAUUUUUGCUUGUUUGGGGAAAUGAUUAUUUUUACCGUAUAAAUUAUUAUACGUAUAUUAAAUGAAUACCCUGAAAAAGUAGUUAGCUACUAUUCUUACUUUUUAGCCGGUUAGCUCCAUUUACCCGCAUUCAUUGAAGACUCCCUCGCGGGCUCCUUCUAGCGGUUUGAUAGAAAGUGAGCAGGCUCACCAUUAUAAACCGGCUAUGGGGCGGCACGUGACCUGCAAAGUGUCAAUACGUGCGACUGCACGCGGGAGGCGGCGGCGUGUCCCAGAGCUAAGUAUUCAGGGGUAGAGCAGUGUGCAGUGUUAUAAUGAGAUUUAACACUGUAACAGCAGCACUGCACCUCACCAGGCGUCUGAUUUCACACGCGCCCCCCUGUAAUGUAAUAGAGCAGAUGGAUGGAGCUACUCAUGUGAAGAGGCUCUCAAUCGAAGGGAACAUAGCGGUGGGGAAGUCAACGUUUGCUAAGGUACUGAAGAAUGCAGGACAAAACUGGGAAGUCACACCUGAACCUGUCAGCAAAUGGCAGAAUGUUGAGGCAGCAACUUCCCAAGUAAGAUCAUUAGUUUGCCUACAGUCUCUGUUCCCUUAAGAUACCUAUAUGAUACAACUCAUUAAAUGUUUAAAGAGGAUUUCUUGAUGCACUGGAUCAGGGAGACGUGUUGGGGCAGUAAAAAGUUAGUUCUCACAACUGAAACAACCAUUUUUUUAAACAAACCAAUAGAUUCCAUUCAUCUUUACUUAACCUCUUGUGUAGAUUAGGGCUGCAGCAAUAAGUCCAAAUAAUCAGCAAUGUUGUUUUAUUAAGGUCUGUUGUUACUAAAACAUGUGACUUAAAUUUAAUGGAGUGGACAGAGUACAGUAUCUCCCUAAUACUUUCCAGUUAACAUUAUUUUAUCUAGUGUUAGUAAUGUUAAUGAAGGAGUCAAUCCUGUUUUGACUCACCUUAGCAGCUCUCUGCAGUAAUGUAACUCACCACGGGAGAUAUACAAGUCAGUGUUUAAACAGUAAAUAUUUUUUGUAGAACUGUAGCAGCAAUGUGUAGUGGGCUCAGGUGCCUGUCAGAGUUCAACCAGUUCAGAGUGGAAGCACUCAUGUAGCGUCAGCCCAGUGGUAGGUGCGUGAAAAGGCUGUGUUGAGGGUGUGUACUGUCCCUGAUAAUGCCGUGGGCCCUUCUGAUGACCAUGGACUUGUAAAUGUCCUG